rnacentral:misc_RNA from 1 species
GGCAUCGGAGUUGUAGAAGCGGAGGCGGAGGGCGGCGAAGCGGGAGGCGAGGGCGGCGGCGGGGGUGUCGAAGAAGAGAUUCUCUUGGAGGUGGGUGCGGACGUGGUGGGAGGCGAGGGCGUCGGAGAGGAGUUGGUGGGCGGCGGCAUCGGGGAGGCGGAGCUUGACCUCGACCUCCAUGGUUAGGGGGCGUUGAGGCCGAUGCGGCGGGCCUUGGCGGUGGG